rnacentral:tRNA from 1 species
CAGAAAAUAGUUUAAAAUAAAAUAGUAAUUUUGGAGAUUACAGAUGCUGCGACUUUUUUGA